rnacentral:rRNA from 1 species
CCAAAACAUGCAGUCGAGCGAAUCGAUGGGAGCUUGCUCCCUGAGAUUAGCGGCGGACGGGUGAGUAACACGUGGGCAACCUGCCUAUAAGACUGGGAUAACUUCGGGAAACCGGAGCUAAUACCGGAUACGUUCUUUUCUCGCAUGAGAGAAGAUGGAAAGACGGUUUUGCUGUCACUUAUAAAUGGGCCCGCGGCGCAAUAGCUAGUUGGUGAGGUAAUGGCUCACCAAGGCGACCAUGCGUAACCGACCUGAGAGGGUGAUCGGCCACACUGGGACUGAGACACGGCCCAGACUCCUACGGGAGGCAGCAGUAAGGAAUCUUCCGCAAUGGACGAAAGUCUGACGGAGCAACGCCGCGUGAACGAAGAAGGCCUUCGGGUCGUAAAGUUCUGUUGUUAGGGAAGAACAAGUACCAGAGUAACUGCUGGUACCUUGACGGUACCUAACCAGAAAGCCACGGCUAACUACGUGCCAGCAGCCGCGGUAAUACGUAGGUGGCAAGCGUUGUCCGGAAUUAUUGGGCGUAAAGCGCGCGCAAGUGGUUCCUUAAGUCUGAUGUGAAAGCCCACGGCUCAACCGUGGAGGGUCAUUGGAAACUGGGGAACUUGAGUGCACAAGAAGAAAGUGGAAUUCCAAGUGUAGCGGUGAAAUGCGUAGAGAUUUGGAGGAACACCAGUGGCGAAGGCGACUUUCUGGUCUGUAACUGACACUGAGGCGCGAAAGCGUGGGGAGCAAACAGGAUUAGAUACCCUGGUAGUCCACGCCGUAAACGAUGAGUGCUAACUGUUAAAGGGUUUCCGCCCUUU